rnacentral:rRNA from 1 species
GGAGGGUGCAAGCGUUAUCCGGAUUUACUGGGUUUAAAGGGUGCGUAGGUGGGUCUGUAAGUCAGUGGUGAAAUCUCCGAGCUUAACUCGGAAACUGCCAUUGAUACUAUAGGUCUUGAAUUAUCUGGAGGUAAGCGGAAUAUGUCAUGUAGCGGUGAAAUGCUUAGAUAUGACAUAGAACACCAAUUGCGAAGGCAGCUUACUACGGAUAUAUUGACACUGAGGCACGAAAGCGUGGGGAUCAAACAGGAUUAGAUACCCUGGUAGUCCACGCCCUAAACGAUGGAUACUCGGCAUCAGCGAUACACUGUUGGUGUCUGAGCGAAAGCAUUAAGUAUCCCACCUGGGAAGUACGAUYUKYUAAGRUUG